AGUUUCUUACUUUUCUUUUUGCUGGUGUAAUGUUUUGUAAUAUGAAUAGUGCAUCGGCUAUUCUUGAUCACAGUCAAAUAUGCAUCCUGUUUUACCUCAGGAUUGGAGCAUGCAGCUGCAUGCAUGCACAGGUUAGGAAACUAUUUCUGCUUUUUGCAUGCAUAAACAAUGUAAAAUGCAUAUUCUGACCAAGUCACAUUCUGGCUUUAUGUGAAUUUUGGCUUUAGCAAAUUAACUAACUAUGACUGGAUGAUGCCUUGAAACAACAUUUUAAAUUCAAUUUAAAUCUGACAAACUGUGUAGAAUUAAGUAACUUUUUAGAAACUGAUUUUUCACAUCUUAUUCAAUUUUGUAUACAUGUUUGCACAAACAGAAACAUUGUACCUGUGUCUAAAUGCGAAGGAAUGACAUCCAUUUUGCGGAAAGAAAGCCUGGUCACGUUUCUAAAGUGCUGCUUUUGACAUUCCCCUGUUUUACAUAGCAUUUCCUUUUGUGUAUUUUUCCUUAUGAUCCGAUCUUAGUUCCAUGAAUGUCCCCAAGUGGCCAAAUAUUUAUUUACUGAAUUAAUUAGAAUGCAUGUCGGUGCUACUAAGGAGCUGUUCUGACUUUUCUGCACCCAGAAUUGAGUUGAAACUAUCAGUACAGACAGAGCAUCUGCAUAGUGUAAUCAGUGGGUUGCCGGUUGAAACCCUUUGUUCCAUUUGCCUCAGUUGUUGUGUCUUUGAGCAAGACACUUCACCUGUCAUGCCUUCUGUUGUUGGUCAGAGGCCCUGGUAGCACCGAUGUAUUGCAGCCUCACUGCUGUCACACUGCACCAGGGCAGCUGUGGCUACAAUGUAGCUUGCUACAAUCAGUGUGUGUUGUGUGAAGAGCUUUGGAGGCCUUGGACUUGAUAAAGAGCUACACGAAUAAUGGCCAUUUAUCAUUUUAGCUUUUUUCUUAAAUUAAUUAAUUCCCGUAAAUAUUUGAGAAGUAGGGGGCACUAAACUUUUAGAAAUGUUCAAAUAAUCAUUAAGUAAAGAAAAUAAAAGAAAAUUACCUUACUUCAUCCUUACAUAGCAUCCUGUAGAUUCCACAUCUUUCAUUCCAAUAUCCCUCCGCCGUGGCACGGUUGUCCUUCCUUCAUGUCUUGAGCCUCUUUUCUACACACUUUUUGACAAACAGGUGACAACAUAAGGAAUAGUUUGACAGGAUCUUUACCUUUAUCAAAUGGGAUCUGGAGUUUUGUCAUGUUAGAUCACAGAAAAGAAAAGCCAGCCCAAAACAGCACUACAGAGGAUUUGUGACAAGCUAAAAUAAAAAUAUUAAAACUGAUCAUUUUAAUAGAUAUUUUGUAAUUUUUUUCAUUUUUAUUCACACUGUUCAUCUUUUCAUACACUGAUUAGGGAUUUAAUAGUCAUGUGUCUUGGCCUUCAGUAUACUACUUCUAGUUUCACUGCAUUUUUUUCUUGCACAGGUAUGUGCAUGCAGAUUUCCCUUCAUUUUGGUACAUACAUACAUUUAGAUGAAAUAUCAAACGAUAUUGAGGGCACUGCGAUCAGGUUGCAUGUCCUUGAGGUAAAGAGAAAAAGAGAACCAGUGUGUGAAACUGCAAAAUCAUCCUGCCUCAUUUUCAGCCUUCUCCCCAAUUAGAAACAACUAGCUGAGCAGAUAUGUUCACUUCUUUUAUUAAAAGAUUGAAAAUAGUUUGCUCUAUUUAGUUGAAAUUGCCAUGAAAAUGCCAUUUGGGCAGUUCAGGAAACUUAUUUCAGUUUUCCAAAAGAGUCUUGAAAAAACAUUGGACUGCACAUUAUUUCAGCUUCACAUCAGCUCACAAGUCUGACAAUGCUAGAAAAAAAUAGAUUUUCAUAUCAUAGUACUUGUUUCACCCACACUCGCAAGACAAAGCCAGCACUGACAGAUGUGGGUGUGCUCUUACUGUUCACUACAAACUUUUGUUUGAAAAGUUGACAUCUUUUCAACAUGCAUAUUUUCACAGACCAUAGCAAACGGUUUAUGGUAUGUGACCGGAUUUGAAAUGACCUGUGGGGCGUAAAAUGCAAAAAUCCUCUCCUGAAAACAGCAAGUGCUUUGUUGACAUAGUGACUCGAAUUGAAGUUAGCAGUGUGCUGCCUUACAAAAGAAUAGUAAAGAGUUGCAUUUAGUGGAAGACACUGAUUAAGCCUGAGCAGUGCGAGUGAAAGAUGGUAUUUAUAUACAACUGUUGUUUAUUGAUAUAUUAUAAAUGUCAAAAACAUGAUUUGUUUAGUCAGUUUUCAACAUUUUUACACUUUGUUUCCAUAUGGCAGCUAUAAAUGAUACAGCUAGUAGUUCAUUCUCUGAAUCUCUCAUAAGGAGCAGAUUUAGCUUGUAAACCAGGAGGAGGUCUGUAAGACAUCAGAGAACAGCACUGGCUAUAAUUUUUUAAUUGGAUUUUUUUGUUUUAGAGAUCACAUAUUUUGUAUCCUACUAUUUAGUGAUGACCAAUCUAGAUUUACAUGGAGAAAUCUGUCUCCUUGAAGUUCCUCGAUGUGACAUUUGCAGCUUGGACCUAUCGCUAGCAGGAUUGUCCUGCUCUUUGAUUAAGAAAGGAAACUAAGUUAUCCACAGGGUGUGAGAUGUACAGGGUUGCACAGUCACUGCACAUGUGGGAGCACUUAGAGUCAUAACAUUGAUCUGGAAGAUGUAGAAGCUAAACAAUUGCUGUGACAAUAACCAACACAUUUCCAGAGCAGUUUAUUUUAAAUGGAUUAAAUCGACUGGUAAGAAUCCUAAUCCAAAGUAUUUUCUGUUGUUUAUUUCUUUUAGAAAAUCAUGUUCAUGACAAAAUAAUGUAGUAUACCGCUGUAAUGUAACUGAAGCAUCCCUUUAAAUAUUUAAUGAACCUCAAGUUAUUCCAUCAUUGGGUUUCCCUGGGUUUGUGAAUGAUCUGACAGCUGCCAGUCUUUUGAAUGGGAAAGACAAGAAAACAUGAAAUUGAAGAUUUCCAGGACAAAUUGUGACUCCGGUGGUCAACAGGCCAUAGAGGGCCCGUUAAGUCAGAGCCAGGAUUGUGAAGAGUCGGAUGAAAGCCUUAACGUUCAGCAGUGUUGUGUUCAAGGCCACCUAACCCGAGACCAAGACAAGACCAAGACCAGAGUGUAUCGAGACCGAGACCGAUCUCGAGUACUACAACACUGACGUUCAGCAGCUUUAUGGUCAGUCAGGAAGCAAAAGGUUCCAGUUUGCAAUUUCCAACUACUCCAGUUUGAAAAUGUCCUUGUCAUUUCAUAAACAUUGAUACUUUUGCUUUAAAUAAUUAAUAAUGCAGGCAGUCAUGUUCUGCUAUCAGUAAUGCAUGUGAAAUAACAUACCGAAUUCAAAGCAGAAAACACCAGAUGUAAUCUGAUGCAACAGCUAAUGAUACUUUAGGCAAAUGAUGGAUUUUUACUCCUGGAUUCCAGCGUGAAAUCCAGUAUGAUGGUCAGAGAAGUUAAAAGUAUCAGAAGGCAUUAAGCUGCAGGUUCUUUCCUUUGUUCAUCUUUGCUGCACCUGCAAACCCACAGGUGGUCUCAGGCUCCAGUGAGCUACCAUAAGAAUCUGACUGCAGAAACAUCUUAGCAUAAUCAAUGUAGUGCAUGAGUCUGCAGUUUUUACUAAGAGAGAGUGAAGGAGUUUAUUAUCAAAAAAAAAAAAUCAACAUAAGGACAGAGGGGUGCAUGUAAAAUAUCAUACUGCACACAAAUCACAGUCCAAAAAUGUGGUUUUAUGUAGGGAUGUUGCAAGACUUUUCAGGUCGAACUAGCUUACCCUGAAGUUUUGUCCUUCUUCUGUCCUCCUCUUCCUCUCAGGCAGAGGAAACCAUUUCUUGAUUUCCUGGAAUGUUCGAUCAAUGAACUCCACAAAAUGUAAGAAUGGUUGAAAUUUCCCACUACUGAACUGAAAACAACCAGAGUAAAACUGCUGCUGGUAUUUAGAAAUCCAUUUCCAAGAAGCAAUGUUAUAUCAAAAAGAGAUGAUUGACUUUUUUUUUUUUUUUUUGCUAAACAUACUUUUAAAUCUGUAUUAAUCCAGGCACCGUCGCUGAGAGGAAGUUGAAUAACUAGAUCAUUUUUAGCUAUAGUUACUUUGUAGUAGGACAGACUGCACCUUCUAUAAAAGGGAAAGGUGUCGUCUGCGAUGAGACCAUUCAAUCAUUCAGACAUCAUUGCACUGAUUCUCAUAUUGGCAGUGAAGCUGACCCACGCUGACUAGUUAAAGUUACUGAAAAGAACCAUUAGAGAGUCUGAAUUCCCUAAAGACCACUCUACGGCUGUGCACUUUGGCAUCCUGUACUCUAUUUAGUGUAUCUGUGUUGUUCGAAUUCACUCUUUGACAUCCACCAAUGCAGCCGAGUUCUUCCCAUUGUUCCAGAGACAUGUUACUGUCUGUUGUGCGCGACUCAAAUCCUCCACCUACUGUGUACUUCUCUACCGCUGAACUGAAAGCCUGUCAACAGCCAUUAUUCCGAGCAAGACCUCUGCUGUGAUCCCUGCCAUGUUUCAUCGAAGUGUGGAAAUUUAUUCUAAAGCUCACUGUCUGAGCAUGUUAGCUACUACUAAAAUUACAGCAUGUGGGUGUUUGUGGGUGUUUUUUUGUGCGCGUCUACCCGCUUGCCGUCGUUCUGCUGCUUCCAGCUCUUGUCACUCCUGUGGACGAAUCCCUGCAAAAGCAGCUGAGUGGACGGGUUUCGAAGGCUCUAUUUCACAGUGGAGUCUGAAGGACUUGUGUGUUAGGGUGUGUGUGGUCAAACAAUUAGCACUGUUUGUCACCUUCUCACAACACAUCCCUCACACGCUGAUCUGAUUAAUGGAGUCCCAAUGGAUUGUCUGCAUAGCCUCUACAGUGACUAAAGCUAUGUCUGUGUCUCUGUUUGCAAAGGAUUGCAAAGUUGUUUUACAAUUUUUUUUUUCUUUUACCUUUUUGAUACUGCAGGUAUAUAGCCUGCAUAAGUGGCAGACAGAGUGUUUAUUUAGACAGAAUUACAUAUUUAACCAAAUUGUACUCAUACAUUUUGUUCUUCCACUUUUCUCAUUUAGACAAUUCCAGUUGGCAAAACUUACUCCAGAAACUUUUCCACAUUUUGUCACGUUACAACCAUAAACCUUAUGGGGUAAUUUGUAAUUUCGUUUAAUAUACCAACAGAAAGCACAACAUGAUUGUGAAGUUGAGGAAAAAAAAGAUACAUAAAAAUUGUGACUUGCAUUUUUUUUUUUAAUUCAACCCCUAUAGAUCUCAAUUCAAUUCUGAAAUGUCCAAAGAGUAUGGAUACUUUGAGACCAUGAAAUAAGUGGAGCAUGAUUUUGAUCAAAUUGUUUGGCUUGGAUAAGGACUUCAACUCUGCAAAAAAAAAAAAAAAAAAAAAAAAAACUAAAAAAAAGUCACACACCCAACACCCAUGCGUGUGUCAUUUGAUCCCUCUCAUAUAUGUUCCUCUGGAUUUCUGAACAAGUCCUCCCCACUCAGGAUUUGCAUUUAAUUUUGCUUGAUCCUAAUCCUGACCAAAUCUUCUGAUGUGGAGCAGAAAUACAAAUUAGAAGUGCAUCAAUCUUUGUGACAUUCAAUUUCUAACACUGGGACGAUGCUUUCAUUUAAUAGUCUAGUUUUUCUGAGGGAGUUUUUUUUUUUUUAACCCCUUAAGCCACCCUUUGUGUCCCACUUCUUAUGUAAUUUUAGUUUGGCUCAAGUGUAUGUGUUUAAAAUGCUUGAUGUAUUUAACAGAAAAUGAAGAAAAAAUAUAUAUUUUAUUAGAAUGUCCUAGAACCAAGAAGUUUGCUUCUGAUGACAAUUCAUACCGACAUUCCUCAAAGCAUAACAAAACAAUGAGAAAGAAAUAGAAAUUAAAAUAAAAUCAUUUGUUUGUAUGUAUUUACAUUUAUUUUACAAAUGGCAUGCUGAAAAUGAUCUUACCUUCCUCAAGUAUCAAUGGAAACGUUUUGGCAUUAUGGCAAUCUUAUCAGAGCUAACAAGAUUUUUGUCAACAUAAAAAAAACACUUGGCCUUGCUGUCUGCAUUUAUGUUAAUGUUUACAAGUGUUGCACACUGUGGCUAAUUAUUUUUAUUACCUAAGAAGAAACAUAUGGCUCCUUAUUUUUUCAAUUUACCAGCUUCUCAAAAGGAAUGUUUUCGACUCCUGCCUGCGGUGCUCUUACUAAUGCUUUACUUGCUCCAAAAAUUAGAUAAAACUUCCUCUCCUGCUUUCUUUCGCUGACUCAAAGUUCUACACAUCUUUUAAUUACAAACCUCUGAGGCCAAAACGCGCUGCUCAAGCUGUUCCUUCUUGUUUGGUUGGCUGAGUGACCUGCAGACUGGAUUAGAGUCCAGCUGUAUCACAGCUUGAGAGAAGAGCAGCGGUGUUUUGUUUGUAGAUGAGCAAUGUGCUUCGUGUUCCUCUAAAACUUUACAGGCUGUCUCUGAGGAGACACGCUCCAGAACGGAUUUAGAAUUCAAGAAAGUUACCGACUGACGCGUUCGGUGUAGGUUAGCAUUGCUUCAAGGCUAUUGAAUAGUUCUCUGAAUAGCAAAUGCUUUUCACUUGAAGUCACUCCAACAAAUUCAAGGUGAGACGUUGGGACGUGUUUGGAGCAGCUGGAGAAAAGUUAUCUGUACAAUUGUUUUUGUUUUUUUUGUUUGUUUUUUUUUUUACAGAAUUUUCCCUUUUUUAUUUGUCUUGCUCACAGUGAAGUUCUGUCUUUUCAGCAUAUGCCCAUACUCCAGUGCUGUGUUCCCGCUUGCUAAUAAUGACUUUUGCUCUUGAGUCAUGACUUAGCAACAAGCCUGCUGGCCUAUUUUUGGUUUCAGGCAAUUAUCCGGAAUGCAGUGUGUUGGUGUGGUCCUGUGACACUUCCAGAUACAACAAAGAGAAAAGGUCUCUGCCCACAUCUGUCAAGUUUCAGACAUAAUAGCAUGUUAUUGAACGUGUAGACGGAAUGACACAUCUCACUUUCUGACAUGUUGUGAAAACGACCCAAAUAUAGAAACCAAAUCAGUUUUUAGCUGCAUUGGUUUGCAUAAUAUUAUCUGCUGCGGUUACUUGAAUGUAA